rnacentral:rRNA from 1 species
CCUACGGGGGGCUGCAGUGGGGAAUAUUGCACAAUGGGCGCAAGCCUGAUGCAGCCAUGCCGCGUGUGUGAAGAAGGCCUUCGGGUUGUAAAGCACUUUCAGCGGGGAGGAAGGCGUUAAGGUUAAUAACCUUGGCGAUUGACGUUACCCGCAGAAGAAGCACCGGCUAACUCCGUGCCAGCAGCCGCGGUAAUACGGAGGGUGCAAGCGUUAAUCGGAAUUACUGGGCGUAAAGCGCACGCAGGCGGUCUGUCAAGUCGGAUGUGAAAUCCCCGGGCUCAACCUGGGAACUGCAUUCGAAACUGGCAGGCUAGAGUCUUGUAGAGGGGGGUAGAAUUCCAGGUGUAGCGGUGAAAUGCGUAGAGAUCUGGAGGAAUACCGGUGGCGAAGGCGGCCCCCUGGACAAAGACUGACGCUCAGGAGCGAAAGCGUGGGGAGCAAACAGGAUUAGAUACCCUUGUAGUC